AAUACAUACAGGCAUGUGCAUGUGCAUAUACUCAGGCAGAAUAUCUGCAUGAGUAUAUACACAUGCACAUGCCUGUAUGUAUUA
rnacentral:pre_miRNA from 1 species